rnacentral:tRNA from 1 species
GGGAGGUUCCGCUAGGUUGGCUGGCGAUCCGGUUUGAACCCGGAGGGACCGGAAACGGUAGGGGUUCGACUCCUCAGCCUCCCGCCA